UGUAGCCUACGGGGGGCAGCAGUGGGGUAUAUUGCACAAUGGGCGCAAGCCUGAUGCAGCGACGCCGCGUGCGGGAUGGAGGCCUUCGGGUUGUAAACCGCUUUUGUUCAAGGGCAAGGCACGGUCUUUGGCCGUGUUGAGUGGAUUGUUCGAAUAAGCACCGGCUAACUACGUGCCAGCAGCCUCGGUAAUACGUAGGGGGCACGCGUUAUCCGGAUUUAUUGGGCGUAAAGGGCUCGUAGGCGGUUCGUCGCGUCCGGUGUGAAAGUCCAUCGGUUAACGGCGGAUCCGCGCCUG
rnacentral:rRNA from 1 species